rnacentral:rRNA from 1 species
GACGAACGCUGGCGGCGUGCCUAAUACAUGCAAGUAGAACGCUGAAGGAGGAGCUUGCUUCUCUGGAUGAGUUGCGAACGGGUGAGUAACGCGUAGGUAACCUGCCUGUUAGCGGGGGAUAACUAUUGGAAACGAUAGCUAAUACCGCAUAAGAGUAGAUGUUGCAUGACAUUUGCUUAAAAGGUGCAAUUGCAUCACUACCAGACGGACCUGCGUUGUAUUGGCUUGGUGGUGGGGUAACGGCUCACCAAGGCGACGAUCCAUAGCCGACCGGAGAGGGGGAGCGGCCACACUGGGACUGUGACACGGCCCAGAGGCCUACGGGAGGCAGCAGUAGGGAAUCUGCGGCAAUGGACGGAAGUCUGACCGAGCAACGCCGCGUGAGUGAAGAAGGUUUUCGGAUCGUAAAGCUCUGUUGUAAGAGAAGAACGAGUGUGAGAGUGGAAAGUUCACACUGUGACGGUAUCUUACCAGAAAGGGACGGCUAACUACGUG